rnacentral:rRNA from 1 species
GACAGAGGUGCCAAGCGUUAGGCGGAAUCACUGGGCUUAAAGCGUGUGUAGGCGGGCGAUCAAGUACCUUGUGAAAUCCCACGGCUCAACCGUGGAACUGCUGGGUAUACUGGUUGUCUUGAGCCAGCUAGGGGCGAGCGGAACAGACGGUGGAGCGGUGAAAUGCGUAGAUAUCAGGAGGAACACCAGCGGCGAAGGCGGCGCUCUGGGCCGGUACUGACACUGAGGAGCGAAAGCGUGGGUAGCAAACAGG